rnacentral:rRNA from 1 species
UCUACGGGAGGCAGCAGUGAGGAAUAUUGGUCAAUGGCCGGGAGGCUGAACCAGCCAAGUCGCGUGAGGGAAGACGGCCCUACGGGUUGUAAACCUCUUUUGUCAGGGAGCAAGGUGCAGGUCGGGACCUGCUGUGAGAGUACCUGAAGAAAAAGCAUCGGCUAACUCCGUGCCAGCAGCCGCGGUAAUACGGAGGAUGCGAGCGUUAUCCGGAUUUAUUGGGUUUAAAGGGAGCGUAGAUGGGUUGUUAAGUCAGUUGUGAAAGUUUGCGGCUCAACCGUAAAAUUGCAAUUGAUACUGGCAGCCUUGAGUACAGUUGAGGUAGGCGGAAUUCGUGGUGUAGCGGUGAAAUGCUUAGAUAUCACGAAGAACUCCGAUUGCGAAGGCAGCCUACUAAACUGCCACUGACAUUGAUGCUCGAAAGUGUGGGUAUCAAACAGGAUUAGAUACCCGGGUAGUC